UGAGAAAGACUUGAGAGGACA
rnacentral:miRNA from 1 species